rnacentral:piRNA from 1 species
AUUCAGGACCUCUGGAAGAGCAGCCAG